UCCGCCUCCCCGCUUCAAGCGAUUGUCCUGCCUCAGCCUCCCAAGUAGCUGGGAUUACAGGUGCCUGCCACCUCGCCUGGCUAAUUUUUGUAUUUUUAGUAGAGACGGGGUUUCACAAUGUUGAUCAGGCUGGUCUCAAACUCCUGACUUCAUGAUCUGCCCACCUCGGCCUCUCAAAGUGCUGGGAUUACAGGCGUGAGCCACUGCGCCCGGCUGAAGCAGAUUAUUUAACAGCUUCGGUCACUUUGCUCUUGCUCUUCAAGAUGGUAGCUAUGGUGGAAUGGGAUAUGCCUGACUGGUGAGCAAUAAUCAUCACUGACUUUUACUUUAAAUUUCAUUUCCAGGUCAAUCACUUGAUGUGGCCUCUUACUGGCAACAUUAGCCAUGGAUUUUGUACCCUUAGGAGCUAUGAUGAAAAAAACAACACAAGAUUAAAUCAAAUGCGAGAGAAAAUAAUGUGCAAACAAGAGAUGCGGUAAACAUGAAAUAUAUGAGGAUACUGUGGGUAUAACAUGACAUACUGUUUUACAGUAAACUGUUUGUUGUUGUUUUUGUUGUUGUUUUUCUGAGUCUCGCUCUGUCACCCAGGCUGGAGUACAGUGGCGCAAUCUCGGCUCACUGCAACCUCUGCCUCCUGGGUUCAAAUGAUUCUCCUGGCUCAGCCUCAGCCUCAGCCUCCCGAGUAGCUGGGAUUAUAGGCGCCUGCCACCACGCCCGGCGAAUUUUUGUAUUUUUAGUAGAGAUGGGGUUUCGCCAUGUUGGUCAGGCUGGUUUAUAGGACCACUGUCAUAUAUGCAGUCCGUCAUAUACACUUGGGCAACAGAGUGAGGAAGAAAGAAAGGAAAGAAAGGAAGGAAGGAAGGAAGGAAGGAGAAAAGAAAAGAAAAGAGAAAAGGAAAAAGAAAGAAAGAAAGCUGAUAGCGCCCACUGGAUGCCUGGCCUCAACCACAACUCUGGAAGACCUACUGCAUUAAGGGUCAAUUAGCACAAUGGUCUAAAACAAAAGCUAUCACCUUUCCCUUAGGACUGACUAGUUAUGCUAUAUUUUUACUGAUUCUUAGGCACUAGUGGUCUUGUCUGCUACUUAGAAGAUUACAGACUGGCAGAUUAAAGGCACUUCACUUUGGGUCAUGAGCCCUGGAAACAAAUUGUAGCCACCAAACAGUCUGGAUCACUGUUGUGGUGUGCAUGGUAAGGGCUCAUUCUCUGAUGAGACCAACUAGAAUCAAGCUUUUGAUCAAGCUUGUGCCACUCAGAUGGCCACAGUUGCCACUUAGAUCCAUCAUAACAUUGGACAUGGUGACACCAUCAUCAACUGGGCACAAAGUAAGGGACUCUGUGUUUCUGAAUCAGAAGCUACCACUACAUGCCAGAUUUGUGACCUCUGCCAAAAGUUAGCCUAUUUGUCUCAUGGUGAAAGAGGCCAUAUUGCACUGAGUGUUGACUGGCUGCAGAGUGUUGACUGGCUCCUGGUAAAUUGGUGACAUCAGACCUUUGACCUCUUCCAAGCUAUUCCACUGGUAUCUCAUUCCUGUUGACUUUUUCUCAGGUAAUGGUUUUGCUGUUCUAGUCUGAUCAGCCAAUUGUGGCCACAUCAUUGUGGCCCUUGAAACUAAUCUGUGUCAUGAUUUUGGCUUUCUGGAUGGUGAUAAUACUGCAUUUUUUAGUGCAAAAACUCAUCAACAAUGGGCUUAUAGUCAAAGUAUUUGGUAGCCAAUUCAUUAUCUUCAGACUGGUGGUACCAUUGAGAGAUGGAAUAAACUUUUAAUUAAAAAACAGCUUAAUUGAGAUGUAAUUCACAUAUCAUAAAAUUCACCCUUUGGAAGGUUUUUAGUUUAUUCACAGAGUUGUGCAACCAUCCUACAGUAUGUAGUCUUUGUGGCUGGCUUCCUUCACUUAGCAAAAUGUUUUCAAAGUUUAUCCAUGUGGGCCGGGCGCGGUGGCUCACACCUGUAAUCCCAGCACUGUGGGAGGCCGAGGUGGGCAGAUCAUGAGGUCAGGAGAUCAAGACCAUCCUGGCUAACAUAGUGAAACCCCAUCUCUACUAAAAAUACAAAAAAUUAGCCGGGCAUGGUGGUGGGUGCCUGUAGUCCCAGCUACUUGGGAGGCUGAGGCAGGAGAAUGGGGUGAACCCAGGAGGCAGAGCUUUCAGUGAGCUGAGAUCACACCAUUGUACUCCAGCCUGGGCAACAGAGCGAGACUCUGUAUCAAAAAAAAAAAAAAAAAAAAAAGCUCUUGUCCCAUUCACAGUUGACUCUUCCAGAUGAAAAAUGUUGGUGUGAGUGGGGAAGAAUUGGAGAAAAGGUGAAGUUACAGCUACUGGGUUGGGACACACUGAUUUUGUAGCUGUGGAAGGAGAACAACGAUCCCAGUACCUGGAGGGAGAACACGUUAAACUCCAGGAAGUGUGGAGAGGUAGGGAACAGUUAAUGUUCUCUAUGUCCCUUAGAUCCAGCACUGCAACCUGGCAAAUAGUUACAUGGUUUGUUUGAGGCACACUGUCAUCAGGCUGCCAAUCUCAUCUGCUGCUGGGUUUGUCAAACCAGUCCAUGUGCUAUUAAAACAGAGAAACUCAUGUGGACAUGGCCUGACACUAUGCCUUCUGUGCCUGGUGCUGUCAAAGGUGGACAUACAUCUACAUACAUGUACAAACACAGACUGGCACAACUAUGUUUUAAGCUGACUCAUACAAAAUCAUGUGCUUCUCCUGAUGCCUGAGUGGCCUUGGUUAUGCUAUGUAUGGUGAUUACGACUGGCCUUAAACUAUAUACUGGAUGUCUCAAAUAAGACCUACAGAUCCUCCUGAGACUUAUUCACAGGUGGUUGAAUCUGGUACUCUGAGGUCAAUACUGCAGGUUUGUCUCAUCUUGCUGCUUGGGGAUUUAUUGACAGUGGUCUAUGCUGUAUGAGAUAAAUUGGACGGAUUUGGUUCCAACCUCUACUAAUCAGAUUAAUCAAAGUGGCCUACAGAAUGGCAUGCUCAAGUGAAAAUCUCUCAAGAAGUCAAGAUGAUGUAGAACUGACGGUGGAUGCUGUUGAGAGACAUUCUGCCAUGAGUCUCUUAUGCUCCUCCUCAUCUUAUAGAGUAUACCAAGAAUGUAAGGUAUUGACUGCUCUUUAGCCAGGCCAUUUCUCAGGAUUGUCUUUGCAGCAAGCAACUUUGAGCUGUGAAGUAAUAUCUCCCUGGGUUAAAAAGCAAGCUCACUUACUGCUUUCUAUAAAAUGUGGGUUCCCCAAACUCAGUGCUAUUGUCAUGUAACACAUUUACCACAUGUGUAGACCUUCAUCUGGGCCUUUGUGUUGUCCCUGUUGGACUCAGGGAGCAAGAGCUGAUGCAAAAGUUAAUGCUCAUGCUGCUUGCUGUGUGAUGAAUAAUAAAGUUCAUUGUCUCUGACCUGAGUCUCAUAUCUUCUGUUAGAAUUCAUGAAACAACAAGCUAACUUACUGGCUUAUAAGUAGGGUAAAGUCAAAUCCUACCCCUGACAUAUAUGAGAGUUCCAUUACUCAAUGUCCUUGCCAACACUUGUUAUGGUCAGUCUUUUUAAUUUGAGAAAUUCUAAUAGGUACAUAGUAGUAUCUCAUUGCAGUGAUAAUUUGUAUUUCCCUAAUGAGCUUAUUUCCAUCUGUAUGAGCUUAUUUCAAUUUGCAUAUUUUUUGGUAGAGUAUCUGUUCAAAUCUUUUGUUCAUUUAAAAAACUGGGUAGUGUUUCUUAUUUUUAAAACUAUAUUCUGGAUACAAGUUCUUUGUCAGAUAAGUUAUUUGUAUAUAUUUCUCCCAGUCAGAGGAUUGAAUUUUCAUUGUUCUUAACAGUGUCCUUUGAUAGAAGUUAUUAAUUUCGACAAAGCCCAAUUUAAUGUUUCUGUUAUUGAUUGUGCUUUUCUUGUCAUAUUUAAGAAAUCUUUGCUUAACUCAAAGUCACAAAAGAUUUCUUCUAUGUUUUCUUUUGAAAGUUCUAUAGUGUUAGAUUUUACAUUUAUGUCUACAGUCCAUUUUGAAUUAAUUUUUAUAUGGUGUGAAGUUAUGAAUUGAAGUUCAUUUUAUUGCAUAUGGCUAACUGUUCCAGUACCAUUUGCUGAAAAGAUUAUAUUUUGUACCUUGUGGGAAAUCACUUGACCAUACAUGUGUGAGUCUAUUCCUAGACUCUCUAUUCUGAACUACUGACUUGUCUAUCUUUAUAGCAAUACUACACUGUUUUGAUUAUUCUCCAAGUCUGGAAGUCAGGGAGAGUGAAGUCUUCAAACUGUUCUUUUUUGAAGUUGUGAUUACUCUAAGUCCUUUGUAUUUCCACAUGAAUUUUAGAAUAAACUUGUCAACUUCUACUAAAACCUACUGGGAGUUUGAUUGGAGUUGUGUUGAAUCUAUUGAUAAACCUGGGGAGAACUGACAUCAGAACAAUAUUGAGUCCUCUGAUCCACGAAUAUGGUAUAUCUCUUUUUUUUUUUUUUUUUGAGAUGGAGCCUCACUCUGUCACCAGGCUGGAGUGCAGUGGCACAAUCUCGGCUCACUGCAACCUCCACCUCCUGGGUUCAAGUGAUUCUCCUGCCUUAGCCUCCCGAGUAGCUGGGACUGCAGGUGUGCACCAUCAUGCCCAGCUAAUUUUUGUAUUUUUAGUAGAGAUGGGGUUUCACCAUGUUGGCCAGGAUGGUCUCGAUCUCUUGACCUCGUGAUCCGCCUGCCUCGGCCUCCCUAAGUACUAGGAUUACAGGUGUGAGCCACUGUGCCCAGCCUGGUAUAUCUCUUUACUUAUUUAAGUAUUAAUUUCUCUCAUUAAUGUCUUAUGGUUUCAGUAUAUGAGUCUUGCACAGAUUUAUCAUUAAAAAUUUAAUAUUUUUGGUACCAUUAUAAAUGGCAUUUUUUAACACGUCAAUUUGUAUUGUCUUUGCUACAAUAUAGAAAUAAACUAGUUUCUGUAUAUUAAUCUUGUAUGCUUCAAACUUGCUAAACUCAUUUAUUAGUUCUAGCAGACUUUUUAAGGACUUCAUUGGAUUUUUUACAUAAACAAUCAUGUCUUUUGCAAAUAAAUAGUUUUACUGUUUCAUUUCCA
rnacentral:lncRNA from 1 species